rnacentral:rRNA from 1 species
CAGUCGCCGCGGGAAUACGUAGGGUGCGAGCGUUAAUCGGAAUUACUGGGCGUAAAGCGUGCGCAGGCGGUUAUAUAAGACAGAUGUGAAAUCCCCGGGCUCAACCUGGGACCUGCAUUUGUGACUGUAUAGCUAGAGUACGGUAGAGGGGGAUGGAAUUCCGCGUGUAGCAGUGAAAUGCGUAGAUAUGCGGAGGAACACCGAUGGCGAAGGCAAUCCCCUGGACCUGUACUGACGCUCAUGCACGAAAGCGUGGGGAGCAGACAGGAUUAGAUACCCGGGUAGUCCCUGUCUCUUAUAC